GCACAAAAACCAGUGCUUGCCAUUCUCCCAUUCAUUUGCGAACUGUUUGAGCACAUGCUUCAUGACCAGCACUGUGCCAAGGCGUCUAGACUUCAAGGCUAGGUCAGACACUGUGAUGACCUGAAGCUCCUCAUUCUGGGGUCAACCAAACUUCAUGGGAUUGCUUAUUGCCAUGGAAGUGUAGGCUGAGGUCAAGCCAAGGAGAGCGGGGCAUGGUGCAGGGCCAGCUUUGGAUGGAACACCCCUUCCCCUGACUGUAAGAGGGCUCAGGCCCAGAGACACUCCUUCCCCCUCAGACCUUGCUCUAACUCUCUCUUCCUCUCCCCACACAGGCCUCCCCUUCCAUGCAGAUGGUGGGGCCUUAAUUGGAGGCCUUAAUUGUGGCUGGAGUGCUCAGAUGAAACUUCCGAAAAGGCCUGAGGAAGACAAAUAGGACCAGCCAAUCUGACUCAUAGCAUGUGACUUGCAAUUUGGGCUCAUGGACCCCUCCAAGGUGGCAAAGGGCAUUCUCAACUCCAGCUUCAGCCCCUUCUGAAGACAUCUGCAAACUCCAGUGUCCAAAUCUUCAGACACCCAGAGAGAAUGAAGCAACCUGGCUCUGUGAGGAUGUUUAGUGGCUCAGCUGCAGCCCUAGAAGCAAAGGUGAUUGCGUAAUAGGAACCACUGGACUGUCUGGAAAUGAUUCUCAACCUAGCAACUGGUCUUUCUGCUAAAGACCCAGGGAUCUGCCUACCUGCUCACCUCUGCCACUCAUGUUCUAUGCAGCAUCCCAAGGGACCCCUGACAGGUGCCAGCUGCACAGCGUUCUUUCAGGUGCCGUUCUCAUGAGUGCCUGCAUUGGGUGAGCUGCUUCAUCCUCCGAGGGAGGACUCUUUCCUUAUCUCUCUCACUCCCUUGCUCCCUCCCUCCAUCCUCCUGCCCUAUCUCACUCCCAGAUUCCUUGAACAUACUGAUCUAUCUGUGCUGCACACUCACCUAUGGAAAGAAUAGCAUCCUGUGACCCAUUACACACUCAGCCUGGUGCUGAGGCUGGGCUCUGUCAGUUCCUUGGUAGUGAGUGUUCUCUCCUGUGGUCGCUUUAAAACACAGUCAUGAAAUUCUUUAGUAUUGUUCCAUUUAGAGAUGGGGUCUAUGA
rnacentral:lncRNA from 1 species